rnacentral:misc_RNA from 1 species
AUCCUUUUCCUCACCUUUCUCAGGAACCAAACAAACCGCGAACGAUAACCGAAAACCAUUACUUAAACCACCAUUACAAAUGCUCUGCCAAAUCAAAUUCCCUCAACAAAACACCAAAUCAAACAACUCAUGACGAAUACAUAAACAAACCAUCUAAAACGAGAGGAAACGCUCCAUUUUUAAAUACAUCGAAGAGAACUCCUGCAACUAAACAUA